rnacentral:lncRNA from 1 species
UCAAAAGAAAGGAAUAUGGUAACAUGCUUGGGUUGGUGUUUUUUUUUUUUGUUUUUUCAAUUUAAAGUAAAAGGAUGAAAAGCAAAAUAGAAAAGCUGAUAAGAAACUUACAUGGCUAAAAGAAGGUGCUUUUGAGCAAGGAGCUUUUCAUACUACUUUCUUGUAUUGUUCCUCUUCAUUUUCAUUUAACCAUGAAGAAAAUCUAAGGAAUUCAAGAAUUUAAAAUAAAUCCCACUUACAGCCAUCUUGCACUCUGACAUUCCUCUUAGUAUUGUUGUGCAAAAGAAAAGUGCUUGUUUUGCCCAUGCCUUGGGAAUCAACGUUGAGUUCAGUGAGACCAGUACAAGUCUAGAUCCUUCUGGGUCUCAUACACUUGAUGGGAGAGAGCCCAAGAUGGCUUUCAGGGCAGUCACAUAGCCCAUUUCAGGUCUCUAAGUCGGAUGCUCACAAGAAAAUCACUGAAAGUAAAUAGGACUGUUACUUUGGCCAUGUAACCCUGCAAGAACAAGCUCUCAGGGAACCAAUGCUGGUGAACAAUGAGUAGAAACAUUUAAUUUGAGAGUUAGAGAUAUACAGCCCAAGUUGAAUUUCAUCCUAGUGGACAAACUAGAAAUUGGCCAUAAAAUACCUGUUUCUUUACUCUUUAGAGUGAAGUUUGCCUGCCUCUGUUGGGGAAACCUCAUGAUUUUGUGAGACUGGUCAAACGUAGUAUGUUAGUGCAUUAAAACACCAGGGCAAAAGCCCCAUUAUUCUCACCCAGUUUGAAUCUUGCAUUAUAUGUCUGGAUGCUCCCUCCCCAGUCCACACGUGUACCACAUUGUUGACAUAGCCUUCAUUUCUACUCUAAGUUGAUGCUUAGUGAAGGUUCAUAAGAGUUUGUUCAAGGUGGGCCAUCUGAAACAACCUGGAGGCUCUUAAAAUGGUCCCUCUAAAAUGCAGUAGAGCUUGUGUUCAGGGCAACUUUUCAUGGAGAGGAAGUAGUUGGGGUGACACUUAGCAGCUUGAGCGUUUCAGGCAAGCAGGGUUUAAGUAGCUGUUCUAACCACAGCCUUCCCUGAACUAGAUGGAGAGUGGCCGUAUUACUACUCUGUCUUUUAACCACUCACACCAGACUUACUAGUCAGACUCUGAGAAACCUUAACUUACAAGCAACAUCGUCUCUUCCUAGCCAAGAAUUCAUUAAAACCAAGGGCACAGUUGGAUAGUAGUUCAGAUUCUUGCAUGAGUAACUAGCAUAAUCGUUGAGCAUACAAGUAUAUCAGAUAUUACACUAAAGCAUGCUAUAAACUCUUUAGAUAAAAACAUCAGGCCUGUGAGGUGUCAAAAAUCAGGUUAGAAGGAGGUGAGCUGUGUGGCUUUUAACCCAAGAAGAGGCAGCCUGUGGGAAUGGGGGUAGAGUGUGGCCAAGCAGAAAUGGGUGAAUAUAAUGAUGGUGGAGGCGCAGGGGUCACACGUGACGGACCUGCUGCCCAACAGUUGCCUUUUGAAUCCUUGAAUUGACAUCCCUGAUGUAUCUUCAGACACUCACUGCAAGUACCUAGGAAAUAUGGAGAAAGAACUUCUGAAAUCUGGGAAGGAGAGUAAGGAACCCAGUGGUGCUAUUCCAUCUUGAAAUGUUCUAGCCAGAACAAAUCAGCAACAUGGCUGAGGGAUUGAAUGCCACAUUGAGUGCUGGUCUCUGACCCUCUCAUGCCCCCUAGUAAGGACAGUACAAGCUGCAUACUUGCUGGCCGUCCCUUAGUCACCUGCUUUUCCCAUAAAUACCAUAAGAAAAGGCGUUUCCUACAUGAGAAGCUCAUAUGCUGCUUGUGGAGAAACUGGGAAAACUGAAGGAAGGAAUAAAACUCUUUGGUGGUAUUGGAAACCUCCAAAAGGAUCAAGUCAUCAUCAGCUUGGUUCUUCCAAGGGCCAGGAUCAGACAUAGCAGAAGAGAUAUCAUUGCAUAUGGCAGCACAGCGAAGAGCAGUCGUCAGUGUGUGAAGGGGAAUUAGCAAUGCAGACCUGCGGGCUCUUUCCUAGUAACCAGACUGUACCAUUGAUAGGGGAACUUCCUCAUUCCCUGACAUUCUCAGUUGGUCUAUUUUGUAGUACUGUCCCCUCCCGGAACAAAGAUAAAAACCAAUCUGGGGCUUUCUGUGGCAAGGGUAGGGAAGAAGACCAAAAAUUAAGCUUUUGUUCCCCUGAAUAGCUGAUGUAAAUAUCAAAUUUUAUGAAAUAGUUAUUAUCUAAAAAUCGCAAACAAGAGCUCUUUUGAGUUUCAUUUUUCUUCGAUCUUGCCUCUUCUAAUCAAAAAAAAAAAUGACCGAAAGAAAGAAGGGAAAGAAAAAGCAUCAGCAGAUUUGGCAAUCCACAAAUUAUUUAACUCCUGAAUCACAGAAAGUGAGCAGACUGUGAAAUGCAAUGUUGUAGAAGUCCUGAGCACAUAAGAAUUUGAAAAGCCGUGAAGGCUGAUGAGUGUAGACGAAGUAAGAGCUGUCCACUGCCUGCUGAGACUAUAGCCUAAACCGGGGAUUUUUAGAGUGUGGAUUUGAAAGAGUCAAGUAUUGCUCUGAACAAUUGAUUUUGAAAAAGCCACAGAGAGACGUGGUGUGAUACAGUGGGAGAAAUGCUAGACCAUGAAAAUUUCCUUACUCUGGAUUCUCUCUUAAGUUUAUGCGUGUGGAACAUCCAGAAGACCUUGAAUACUGCAUUUGAUGUGUUAGGAUUUUACCUUUAGGAACACUACAACUGAAGAGAGUGUACUGAAUAAAGAAAUAACUUUUCAUUUAUGUCAGCUACUUUGUCAUCAUAAAUCUGCAACACAAAAGAAACAAGUCUACAUGGCCAAACUAAUACUAUUUGAAAAGAUUGCAUAGUUUUUGGCCUUUCCAAAAUGCAGUUAACUUGUUGGGUAUAUUUCCACUUUCCAGCUAUAAACAGUCUAGCUGCUUGGAACUUUCUCUAUUGUUGGUGCAGAAGUCACUCAACGAAAAGCACCUUCAGAAACAGGCCUCAGCAGAUCUGGGUCCUGUAGGCUCACGUAACAGUAUUUCUAACUCCAUUAGCAAUUGAAACCAGGCAUAACUAAGCUUGGUUACAUAGCUGUGUGUGACUGAGAGGCCCAUUUUGUGUCAUUUCUGCACUCCUGUCAGUUGUUGACACCUUGUUAGAGGCACUGAAUUUUAGUUUCACAGUUCUUCAUUUCACCUCCCAAGGAGUGGGCAAUCUACCAAACCCUUCCAGAUCAACACUUUGCUGCGAAGUAGUAAAUUCAAAAGAGUUUUAACAUGUCAAACUUGAAGCCAAUUCAGUAACCUUAUUUGUUCCAAGACUCUUAAUCAACACUGUGAUAUAAACUUAGCACUUGGGAAAUUUGUGUAAUUGGCAACUUACUUGGAAGUGUGAAGAUAUGAAAAUGGCAGCUAGCUAACUCCAUCUAAGCUCCCAUGCGGUUUCUCCCAAGGAAGGAAUUAGAGAAGCAAAUCAAGCCUCAUUCAGUAGGUUGUCUGUCCCCAAAUGGAGCUUGUUGGAUUCAUUUCCCCUCCACCCUCUGCCCCUCUCCCACCCAGCCUGGUGAUAAACAGUAACAGAGGACCUUUCCCUUCUCGUUCGUCCGGUCUCUGGUAUGACAGAUAGUUCAAUUCAAUCAAGAACUCAAAUAAACCCCUGCAUAUUACACCUGUGAGGCACUUGUUCAUGAUUAUCUUCUCCAUUCUAUAAUCUGGGGAAGACUGACUUAAUCUCAAUAUUUUAUAUGAAAGUGGUAGCUACAGCCUUUAAUUUAUUCUUCUACAUGCCAUCUAUGCUCAUUUAAUUUUCUUUUUUUAAUCUUCUUUUAAAUGUACUAAGAAUCUCCAGUCUCUCCUUUUCUAGAAGCUGAUCCAAAUACUACUUUGGGCUUUUUUUUUUAUGCUUUGUGUGAAAUUUGAUAGCGUUGGGCUAGUGAAAUGCAAAUGAACCCAGAAUUUCCAGCAGAAAUUCACCUCCCAAGAAUUUGGCAUCCUUCUCCAUGGUGUAAACAACCUUCUACCACAGUCAGGCUGUCGGGUAGCCUGAGCAUUUCCCUAAAUUUCACCUGUGCAGACACCAAGGGAC